rnacentral:tRNA from 1 species
GGUCCCGUAGCUCAACUGGAUAGAGCAACAGCCUUCUAAGCUGUGGGUUGCAGGUUCGAUUCCUGCCGGGAUCA